GAUGAACGCUGGCGGCGUGCCUAAUACAUGCAAGUCGAGCGAAUGGAUUAAGAGCUUGCUCUUAUGAAGUUAGCGGCGGACGGGUGAGUAACACGUGGGUAACCUGCCCAUAAGACUGGGAUAACUCCGGGAAACCGGGGCUAAUACCGGAUAACAUUUUGAACCGCAUGGUUCGAAAUUGAAAGGCGGCUUCGGCUGUCACUUAUGGAUGGAUCCGCGUCGCAUUAGCUAGUUGGUGAGGUAACGGCUCACCAAGGCAACGAAGCGUAGCCGGCCUGAGAGGGUGAGCGGACAAAAGGGGACUGCUACACGGCCAAGACUCCAACGGGAGGCAGCAGUAGGGAAUCGGCCGAAAGGGACGAAAGUCUGACGGAGCAACGCCGCGUGAGUGAUGAAGGCUUUCGGGUCGUAAAACUCUGUUGUUAGGGAAGAACAAGUGCUAGUUGAAUAAGCUGGCACCUUGACGGUACCUAACCAGAAAGCCACGGCUAACUACGUGCCAGCAGCCGCAGUAA
rnacentral:rRNA from 1 species